UUAUAUGUUUAAAAGAAAAAAUUGAAGAAGAAAUAUUAUUAUUAGGUUAUUUAAUUAAUAACUUUUGGAUGGAUUUUCGUCAUACAAGUUGAAUAAAAGCGUGGUAAUUCUAACAAAUAUGUUAAAUAUCUUUUAUUAUGUGAUUUAGGACAAAUAAAUAAUAAUUAUAUAUACCAGGUAACAGAACCUCAAUUAUACUCCUUAAUAUUAUAUGUAGUUUUAUUUUUAUUUAACACUCGACAAACGUUUAGCUUUAUGCAUUUUUUUUAUGUUUAAAUGUAUUUAAACUGCACAGAUUGCAGUAUGUAGUGUCACACAUGCUUUUUUAUGUACCAUUAGUCCCCCUUUUAUAUUUUAACCCCUUUGAAAGGGGUAAAGGGUAUCACCCCUUUACACAUAAAAAAGGGAUAGCUGUUAAAAAAGGGUGAUGCAGCUGGAAAAGUAUAGGCCUAUGUAUCUACAUGCAUUAUAUUUAAAUAAUUUGUUAUAUUACAUAUAGGUAAGUAUCUGAUGCAAUAGUCUAUAUUUUUAUAUUGCAUUUUGUGCUUUGCUGUAAUUAAAAAAUAUGUUAAUUAAGAUAAGAUCAUUAAUUGAUUGUUUAUUUUAGAUAACACUGCGUGGCAAUAUUUUUUCUUACUCGUAGUCAAAACUCAGCGAGCCACUCCCCUCAUCGGUGGGAUUUGGACACCGCUCAGGGCAUGCUCCGUAGUAUAGCCAAUCUUUACGCAGAGGAUACCGGUCUCUCUCUUAUACUCUUGGAGGACCUUCUUCUAGGGAUAGGGAGAUCAGUUCCCAUGAUUGGUCAGGGUAACGCAGUCUACCAACAGCUACGCUGCUGUUUGAAAGGGGUUGCUCAGUGCUCCGCUGUCUGUCGGUGACUUUGCAUCGCAGUGUAUCCUUUCAUCAAUCAGUCACCGCGCACUGUUGAAGUGAUUUUAGAUAAUAGGAGUUUAAUUGGAUUUAAGAUUAAACUCGAAGGCGUUUUCGAUAAAGUCUGCGAGCUCACCAAAGGCGUGUUUGCAUUUCUCUCCCUUUGGGACAUCGUCUCUGGCGCGCAAUUCCGAAAAGCCGAUUUCAAUUUCUCGUUUCCUUCUAUAGGGAAAAAGAAAUCUCGAGUGACAGACAUGGUUCAAAGAGAGAUAGAGCAAAAAAAUACGAAAAAGAGAAAGAAAGCGAGGGUGAGUUCACCCUGGGAUUAGAAGAAUCGCGUAGACAGGAUCCGCAACAUGCGCCUCUAUCCCAAGGACUCCCUACAUCUUCGAAAGUCCCAUUGCAUUGAUCCUUCUUCAACCAUCAUCUUCUUUGCUUAUCUCAACUUAUUCUGUGAUGUUAAGGAACCAUGGACCGGUGGUAUAACGAUGAGCUUCGUUUCCGUCUCCGGUCUUCACAAUUUCUGCCCCGUCAACUCCAUUCUUCCGCGGUCUGGCUCCGUAUGUCUUGCCUCUUUUACGUCCUAGACGUGAACGAAAAGCUCAGAAAUUCUAGUUAAGCGAAGCU